AUAGUGUCCCCCCCCCACCAAUUCAUGUCUAUCCAAAACCUCAGGGAAUGUGACCUUAUUCGGAAAUAGGAUCUUUGCAGGUGUAUUUAGUGUAAGAAUAUC